GUCGAGCGAGGCCCUCCUUCGGGGGGUGCCCUAGCGGCGAACGGGUGAGUAACACGUGGGCAACCUGCCCUCAGCUCUGGGAUAACUCCAAGAAAUUGGUGCUAAUACCGGAUGUGACCGCUGACCGCAUGGUCUGGUGGUGGAAAGAUUCAUCGGCUGAGGAUGGGCCCGCGGCCUAUCAGCUUGUUGGUGGGGUAAUGGCCCACCAAGGCGACGACGGGUAGCCGGCCUGAGAGGGUGACCGGCCACACUGGGACUGAGACACGGCCCAGACUCCUACGGGAGGCAGCAGUGGGGAAUAUUGCGCAAUGGGCGAAAGCCUGACGCAGCGACCCCGCGUGAGGGAUGACGGCCUUCGGGUUGUAAACCUCUUUCAGUAGGGACGAAGCGCAAGUGACGGUACCUACAGAAGAAGCACCGGGCAACUACCUGCCAUCACCCCCGGUUAUACCUAUGGGGGAAGCGUUCUCCGGAAUUAUUGGGCGUAAAGAGAUCGUAAGCGGUCUGUCACGUCGGCUGUGAAAA
rnacentral:rRNA from 1 species